rnacentral:rRNA from 1 species
GGCCGCAGUAUUUUAACUGUGCAAAGGUAGCAUAAUCAUUAGUCUUUUAAUUGGAGGCUUGUAUGAAUGGUUGGACGUAAUAUUAACUGUUUCACAUAAUUUUUAUAUAGAAUUUUAUAUUUUAGUAAAAAAGCUAAAAUAUAUUUAAAAGACGAGAAGACCCUAUAAAUCUUUAUAUUUAUAUUAUUAAAAUUUUAUUGAUUUAUUUUAUUUUAAUAAUUUAUAUUAUUUUGUUGGGGUGAUAUUAAAAUUUAAUUAACUUUUAAUUAUAAAAUUUCAUAAAUUAGUGAGUUAUUGAUCCAUUAAUAAUGAUUAAAAAAAUAAGUUACUUUAGGGAUAACAGCGUAAUUUUUUUGGAGAGUUCAUAUCAAUAAAAAAGAUUGCGACCUCUAUGUUGGAUU